AGCAGGUUACCUGGAAUCCUGGACCAAUGAUCGAUCUUGGAAGCAGCCAGUCCACUUCCUCUGCCAAUAAUGCCACCGCCUAUGGAUAGGCAAGGGCAUUGCAUGGAUGAGUCCAGUCUGCAGUUGCCACUGCAUGGAAUGCAUAUUACAGAACUGAAAGCCAAUGACAGUGGCUGGAGCAAUGACAAAAGCUACUCAAGUUCUGUAACAAGGGCGGGGCAUGGCCUGGUUUAGCCCCUACUAAGAUCCACCAGUGCAUCUGUGUGCAAUACAUCAAAUUUAGGGCUGCAGGUAAUUCUUGGUUAGCCCCAGGUAAUUCUUGUUCCCUCCAUCCUUAAUUAUACUAUUUUUUAUACACGGGCAGUAGAUGUUAACAAGAAUUGCUGGACAUUAGCUAGAAAUCAGAAGCUACAAUGAUAGUUUUUUAUAUAUUGUUCAGUCUGCGGAAAUCUGAAACGCAAGAUAAAUAGUUGAUACACUUGAUAGAAAACUGUAGUCAGACCUAAGAAUGGAAAAAAUGUAAGCGGUAAGGCGGAAAUUAUGUCACUUCACACGACCUCAAACCAAAAGGACAAUGAGAAUGGAUAAAUAGUGUAUUUCUUCUCACCUCAUGGCAUUAUAUAUCCUUUUUCUUGCCCCCACAUCAAUAUUGCUAGGACAAUCCAUCUGGGGGAGUUUGCUUUUCGCGUACAAGAAGUUUAUUGAUGUGGUUUUGGCAGUGAAAUACCCAACAUUCAGUAUUUUUAUUAAGGCAAAUUUUAUUCUGUCUUGGUGUACCUUCUCUGAUAUUUGUAUUAUGCUUCACUGGUCCUUGGAACCAGUUUAUUUGGAUAUAUUUUUUGGCACCUGGGUACUAUUAUUCACCUUCACCACAUCGAUUAAUGAUUUUUGAUAAAUAUAUCAUUAAUUAUUUUUGAUCACAUUCCUCAGUUGAUGCCGGUUAUUCGGAGCAGCAACAUGAUUAGCCUGUGGCAGCACCAUCAUUGGAAACCCACUAAUGUCCUCAUGGUUACUCGAUUCCCUGGUUUGACCCUUCGAGGUAUAUCUCAUUGAUUGAUGGAUUUAUUACUUGUUCAUUAUAUGCAUCUGAAUUUUUUUGUACAACCAACUCAUUGUUGUCCUCUAGAAGACUGAACAUGUCACUCUGAAUUCAGUAUAUUUUGCCACUGCGUUUUAAAUAAUUGGAAUUUUACAUGCUUA